rnacentral:rRNA from 1 species
GACGAACGCUGGCGGCGUGCUUAACACAUGCAAGUCGAACGGAAGGGCCCUGCUUGCAGGGUACUCGAGUGGCGAACGGGUGAGUAACACGUGGGUGAUCUGCCCUGCACUUCGGGAUAAGCCUGGGAAACUGGGUCUAAUACCGGAUAGGAGCCAUUUUUAGUGUGAUGGUUGGAAAGUUUUUUCGGUGUAGGAUGAGCUCGCGGCCUAUCAGCUUGUUGGUGGGGUAAUGGCCUACCAAGGCGGCGACGGGUAGCCGGCCUGAGAGGGUGGACGGCCACAUUGGGACUGAGAUACGGCCCAGACGCCUACGGGAGGCAGCAGUGGGGAAUAUUGCACAAUGGGCGCAAGCCUGAUGCAGCGACGCCGCGUGGGGGAUGACGGCCUUCGGGUUGUAAACUCCUUUCGCUAGGGACGAAGCUUUUUGUGACGGUACCUAGAGAAGAAGCACCGGCUAACUACGUG